CAAAGCUUCGCUCGCGUGGCUGAAGUCGGUGGAUCUGGUGUGACACGACUCGUAGGGAAACAAUGCAACACAUGCAGUGCAUUUACACAACGGCGUUUUGCUUAUUACCGAGAAUAACUAAUAGCACAGAGCUGCCGGAGACUCAACCCGUCCCACAGCACCCCGCCCGUCACCGGGCUUGACGUGCUGCACGUUGUCCGUUGUAAACACGCGAGGCUCGUCUACGAGUUUCUGUUCGUGGCGCUACACGACGGCAGCGCUCAGAGGAACAUCCGAUCUCAGUAAGUGUGCAAACGUUAGCUGCGUCGGGCCUCCAGGACCAGCAGGUUUACUCAGUUAUACGACGUCGUAGCAUCCUCCAUGUGCCGCUGUGUGAGAUGGACCUCGGGGUAUUAUUAGUAUGUUGAUUCGUCAUCAUCUGAAGCGUAGUAGAUUACUAGGAACUAAAGAAGAGGAUACUACUGGGAAUUUGCAUCUGAUCGGCAUCCAUGUGAGCGAAGGCUUUAAUCCAUUAAAACUGUCACUUAUCUGAAGCCGGUACAAUACGUUUGACAUGGUAAAACAUUCAGCCAUGUUAAGAAAAUAGAGAAUAACAUCCUCGGUAAUGAGAGACCAGUCAUUUUGUUUUUGUGGGUUGUAAAACAGGCUGGCGACAAGUAUAAUUUAUAGACCCUAAUUAUUCAGGAGCCUUUCAUUGCUCAUCUAUUAUGGUUCUUGCACAAAUUAUAGGAACACAUUGCAAGAAAAGUAAUUGGUUAAAUAAAUAUCCGACUUCAUCUUGUUGUGGGAAGACAGUGUGUCGUGUUCCCGUAAAAAGAUCAACGAGGAUUAAGAGUGUUAGACACUAUUAUGUCUUGCAGUAACACACUUAUAUGGUAACACACACGCGCGCAUAUGUAGACAGAUGCUGCCGAGUGCACGUCCACUCCGCGCUGAUGACCUCAUGCGGCCCGACGCAACUCCAACUGCUGCCGGAGCAUGCUGCAUUCCCAACUCCAUUCCUCAAUUCCACUCAGACAUUCCUGCACAGUGUGGCGGGAAUGUGCAGCGUGGCGGUUUCAGGCAGAGUGAAGAGGUGAAAGGUCAAAUCGCUUACAAAGUCAGGAAAAUAACAAGAGGCCAGAGUCUCUGUGUCUCAGACUUCCGAGUGGCUCACGGUGGAGGUGAGAGAGAAGCCGCCUGGCACACAGCAGGAGAGACGGGGAGAGGAGAACUCACUUAGAGCAUCUCCACUCUCCCCCUUUCAGCUUUCACUCGUCUGUCUCUGUGUUGCAGCAAUAAGCACGGAGCGUGUAUCUAUUUAGAGUUUUAAAAACCACCUAUUAAAGCACGUCGCCUCUGCACUGUGACAGCAGGAUACUACGGGUCGUAUGAGAGUUGCAUACGUCCAAUUGGGGACGCUGGCCACAUGCAGUCGGGUACUGGGCAGGCUCUGGAGUUUGUGGGUGGCACACUGAGCCACAUCAAGUCGGCCCGAGGUUGGGCGGGGUCGACGUCAAUUGAACUUUUUGAAAAUGAAGUUGUAAAUGUGUCUUGCUCGUAACUCAUAACAAUGAACACAUGCCUUUAAUCCCAAAUAAAUCCGGCGGUACAACCGGCAGAUUCAAAGAGCAGAUGCUCAUUUUAUGUGCGACAUGUUUAGCUUACUGCAGUAAAGUAACGGGCACCGUGCAGUAAAAUCUAAAUGGGAUCAAAUCAAAAAUAGGAAGAAGUGUUGCUUAUGAUGAUUUAUGUCAUGUAGUCCUAACCUAAAAACUACUCAUUAGAGAUGCGGUCCGCAAUGGAGCGCGACCAAACUGAUGUGACUUCAUUUGAUUUAAUGCAACUGCUUCCAGAUGCAGAUGGAGGCCCGGGCGCGAUGAGCUCUCACAACAGAGGAGCACUUUGUCCAAAUCUCACGAGAGACAUCAUUUGUACUUUUCUUUACCGUUUUUAAUGGCUAGCACAACUUUCUGUUCAUUUCAUCCAACUUUCUCAUCCACAAGAUGACUAAUCCGUCAAAUAUUCCCUUGGGGAGAAGGGCCAUGACGUCAUGUGCUCUGUGUGUUGCUUGUUCAGGGCUUUGUUUUCUAGUCAUUACCACUUCAGGCUAUCCAACAGUAAGAACUUACUACUAAAUGACUAAAGCUUCGAACUCCUUGUUUAAUAAAGUUAUGUCUCCGGGCAGCGUGCACAAUCCCACACAGUAAGCAGAGUUUAGGCUAUUGCUUGGCAGUAAAAACACUCAUUUGAUAGAGUAGUUCCAGAUGCCUCGGUGGAUACGAGCCGGUGGGACUGUGUGAUCCAUAUUCCAAGCUGUACUUUGAGGUCGUUACCUAAACAGAUUAGAGCACUUCAGAUUGUUUGAACCUAAACAUCCCACAAACAAAAACUAUUUCCACCAACACAGAUUGCACAGAUUUUAAAUUCUUGACAGUCAAUCUGAAGGCGCCUGUAUUGUCAAGCAAUAAAUGGAAAUUUGGGGAAAUUCUCUUUUCCUUCUUGGUCCAAUCAGUCAUAUCGCCCAAAACAUAACCGCUCUGUGAUUGGUUCAACAGCCGUAAUGUGUGGCCUUUUCUCUCCAAUCAAACUGUUCUACAAAGUCUUCCUGAGCUUAAAAUGACUCUUGAUGUUCCUAUUCCUGCCCAAAAAUAACAUUGUAAUCUGAGUCGGACAACUCGAGGCCUGAAUAAUAAUAAUCAGUGCGUAACUAUUGCUAUUGUAGCUAUUGGUUUGAAGCUACAACUUCCUAGUCAACAGUAUAUCUGGACUAAGAUCACACAGAUUAAGGUCUGUUUUCUUAUUUUCUUCUCCGGUUAAAGUAUCAUGUUGUGCUCUUCCAUUUCCUGCAGCGAUCCUCUGCGUUCCCUCUGGUGUCCUCUUUGUUCCAGGCCUACAGCUCUCAGGGGGGAACACAGUGAACAGGCCCCAGCGUCAUAAAGGCCAGCUACAACAACAAAUGGAGUCUCUCUCGGCUGGGUGUGGCGGCCUGCAGAGCAACAGCUCGGCCCUGUUCCUCCUCCUGAGACCCGAACGACAGCUCACCCUCAGUUUCCAUAACUUGUUUUUAAAUCUUAAGACUUUUCUUUGCUCACUCAGGAUUGCUGUCCCUUCUAGGUUCUCUUAUUUGACUUUUUCUGAAUUCUACACAGAUUUCAUAAGAAUCCCUCAUAUUUCAGGUAUUGCUCUUAAACGGUCUUUGUUAAACAACUUGUAUAUUCCCCCCCCCCCCCCAACUCAUUUUCUUUCUUGUUCUGCUUUUCUGUUUAUUCUCUCACUUAAUCCGUCAGUGCCCUGCCUCCCUCUUCCUUUCUCCUCUUCCUCUCUCCCACUGUAUCUCAGCCCGGCCCCCAUUUCCCUCUGACACACUUCCUGUAAACUAGAGAAGGUCAUCAACACGUCUUCAGCCACACAACGUAAUACGAGUCAUGAACGUGUUUCAUAAAACUAAAUAAAGUUUGUCAUGCUUUUUUGAAUAACACGGAG